GAAGUUAAUAGCACCGCAAAGCAUUUUGUUGAUUUCACAGAAGCAGAGGAAGAUCUUGUUUUCAGAAUGCACAGGCUUGUCGGGAACAGGUGGGAACUUAUAGCUGGAAGAAUCCCCGGAAGAACAGCAGAAGAAGUAGAGAUGUUCUGGGCAAAAAGGCACCAGGACCAAUGA
rnacentral:rRNA from 1 species